rnacentral:lncRNA from 1 species
GGUUAGCCUUAUACUUUUUUGUUAGUUCAGGCUUUACAGCCCUUGCAUGAUACUUUUGCACCUUCCUCUUCUUUCCUCUCUUAAAGGACCGACAUCCCAUUGAGGAUAUAUCCUCAAGGGUGCCAAAAGACUCGUUUAACAUUUGAAGCAUUUUCUCUGAUAAAGCAUUUUUGAAUUUAUGACUAAAUUCAUCAUUCAUUGCCGCUCUCGUUAUACACUACACUGUGGUUCGAUCAUUCAGCCACUUCUGAUAAGUAUCUCUGACCUCACCUCGUGUGUUGGGCAUAGGUUCUAUAGGUACAGGAUCCGUAAGGACAUGCAAGAUCUUUUCAUACUCCAGAACUAUUUUCAACUUUCGAUACCAGCUAUCGAA